GAUGAACGCUGGCGGCGUGCCUAAUACAUGCGAGUCGAGCGAACGGAUAAGAAGCUUGCUUCUCUGAUGUUAGCGGCGGACGGGUGAGUAACACGUGGGUAACCUACCUAUAAGACUGGAAUAACUUCGGGAAACCGGAGCUAAUGCCGGAUAAUAUUUAGAACCGCAUGGUUCUAAAGUGAAAGAUGGUCUUGCUAUCACUUAUAGAUGGACCCGCGCUGUAUUAGCUAGUUGGUAAGGUAACGGCUUACCAAGGCAACGAUACGUAGCCGACCUGAGAGGGUGAUCGGCCACACUGGAACUGAGACACGGUCCAGACUCCUACGGGAGGCAGCAGUAGGGAAUCUUCCGCAAUGGGCGAAAGCCUGACGGAGCAACGCCGCGUGAGUGAUGAAGGUCUUCGGAUCGUAAAACUCUGUUAUUAGGGAAGAACAAAUGUGUAAGUAACUGUGCACGUCUUGACGGUACCUAAUCAGAAAGCCACGGCUAACUACGUG
rnacentral:rRNA from 1 species